AAAUGAACAUGAGGAUGGUGGGUUCUAAGUAGUUAUGCUGACGUGGCAAAUGAUAGAGGAUUUGCUUAUUUGGCACAUUAAUGGUCAAUCAAUUAGAAAUCGGUUAUCAUUUUAAAAGUCGUUUAUGCCUAAUUUCAUUAAAUUAUUAGCUAAUGCGGACUAC